rnacentral:rRNA from 1 species
UGACUAAGAUCAGGCAAGAUACCCGCUGAG